GCUCUGCCUGCCGCGGCACAGCACAAGGAGAGACGGCAGCAGGUUCUGCGUUUAGCUUCACAGGUYAAAGUUUAAACUGACUGGAUUCUUUACCCAGAAGAAGCUUUUAGGAAACUCAUGGAAACCCGCCACGGUAUAAUUUUUCUGCAUUGUGCCCCUCGCUUAGCACAUCAGUAAUUUUUAGCUGAUAAAGUUGCCGCUGUUCCGCCAUUAAAAACCUCUGAAUGAGCCGAUAUCAAAUUGAUAACUUAAUUAGUUUAUCGAGUGUUUAUAUUUCUUAACAGAACCGCAUAAAAAACAUUUUUCAUUCAAAAAAUGGACUGUGUUUGGAUCACUUUUCUGUACCGUUCAGUGAUACCGCCAUCUUUGCUUCUGUACAACCGGCUCCGUUUAUGACCAGCGGCGCCCUCUGCUGGAUGGCGGCCAAACUACACCGCUAAAAGACGGUCUUGGCUGUUUGGAUGUCCAAACUUUUUGAAUUAGGUGCCGGCUCAAAAAUAUAUAGCUUCUAAAACCAUCUAAGAUCAAAUUGGAGAAUAAAGUCUCAGCUAUAAAAGAGGAUUUUUGUCACUUCAUAUAUUUAUCCAUGCUUAAUAAAUGAAUUAAAAGCAAUAAAGUCUGCUUUUGAGGAAAAGUCACUCCUUCCUAUUUACCAUAAAACCAAAUAAAAAUGAAAAAAUUAAUAUUUUCUAUUGCAUCAAACAUUUUCCAUUAUAAGAACAUUUUAAUUUGUAAACUUGGGUAAUUUUCUAAUUGUAGUUGAAGGGGGAGGCUGUUUUUGUCUGGAUGUCCUUGUAAAAAGUCUUACUUUAGACUUUAUACUAAGACAUAUUUCUGUAAAAGCAGAGUGGAUCAGCUGUGGCGUAGAAGAAGCUGCAUCGGGAUCACAGUGGGAGGUCGAGACGGGCUUUGAUAUGGAGAAAACAGCAAUCUCCCGAGAUCUUCAGCUGAUGAUGCCUUCUUCAAUCAUCUCAUCAUCAGCAUCACCAUCAUCACACUUCACUUUUCAUCUCCUCAGGUUUGUGACCAGAGGCCUCUUGGCUGAGAUUUCCCACCCUGACGGUUAAAGUGGGYGGCCAUUUUGCAUAAAGCUGCAUUCUGGAAAAACGGAUGAAAACAAACAAUAAAUCUUCACGGCGUGAGAUGAACAGAAGCAAUAGGCCAGCAGGCGAUCGGGUUUUCUCUCAAGUCCCAGACUGAUCGCCAACACCACAGAAAAAUGACAUUUAAGCUCUCCUCCUCCUCCUCCAACAAAAGAUCUACACUACAAGGACCUAAAACAAGCAGAUAAUCUGGAGUAAAGGAGAUUAUCUGCUAAUAACACUCAUGACAAAUCCACAGUGAAGCGUUCUUUCUCUGACGGGGAUAAAUGCUUGUAGGAAUGUUUGGGGACAAAUAUUGACUUACAGAAACACAAUAAACACACAUGUAAUCACACAUUUAAAAAGGGAAAAACAACUUUCUUCUUAAAUCUUCUUGACAUUUGAUGUAAGACUUAAACUAUUCCAGAGAGGAUUUAGGAUUCUGGAGGUUUGCUCCAAACGGAUUUGUGUUGAUCCAUAACUCUGCGGCAGUCUGACAUUAUAGAUCCACAAUCACGCUGCGUGACAUUAACAUGAGAAAACGUGGAGCAGACGUGUCUGUUUCUUUCUGAGCAGUUUCAGGAAAAUGCAACAACAGAAGGAAAAAAAAGAGAUUUUGGUGUAAAGUUUCCAUUUUGCUGGAAAUCAACCGCAGCUAGAAAAGGAUGGAAAAUUCAGACAUGUUGGGUGAAAAACCCAACUGGACCAUCACUUGGUUAAAACUGAGUCCAUUUCUGCUCCGUUACAAGAUUUCAUUUGGGCAAAAUCACCACAAAAAUAUCAUUUUAUAUAUUGUCUUUGUACUUUUCUUGUGCAGAAAUUAACAGGUUACAUUUACUAAAAUGUAAAUAAAGAAAAACAGCAGGAAGAAAACAAACAAGUUAGAUGGUUUAUGAUAAAUCUCUGGAUUUUUAAAAUCUCAUUUAGAGGAAAAAAUAAGAUGUUUGUGUAAAUAAUGGCUGAACUUGUUAUUUUUAUCUAUCGUAGAUGUUCUGGACAGACGCAAACUGAUUGCAGUUUCUUUGCCGAUCUUUAAAAAGCCUGACGUUACUAUUAUCUUUACUGAAACAAAACUACGUAUACAUGCACUCUGACUGUCUAAAAUUACUUAAUUUGUUUCUUUUAUGGUCCUUUUUAGACCUGAUACUUGAAUAAAAACAGGAAGUGAAAAUAAAUGCUGAUCAAUCUGAAGAAUAGUUUGUCAGGGAUGAAACAGAUCUUCAACUUAAAGGGUAAACUAGUUUUAUAUCUGAUAAAAUAAACAGAUAAUGUGGAAAUGGAGAAAACUUUUAAAAUAAUACCGGCUCUCGGGGAUAAAAUGUACAUUUUCAGAUUGUUGAUCUUGACCCAAAAAUGUAAAUUCUUCAUGCUAGUCUGUUAACUUUUACAAUCUUUUAACCUUAAACGAAUAGAAAAUAAACAUUUUUACAGUAAAAGUUGCUGCUUUAUUUGCUUUUCAGCGAGUUAAUUCCUCAGGGCUGAAAGACGUCAUGUGAUUUCUGUUUUCAUUUAUGCUGUGUGUCGUCAGGAUGUUGACUGUCAUCCGCUGCAACCACGUCUACUGUUUGUUCUUUCAAAAAAAACAUUCCAAACCGCAGAAAAAUUUCUAAAAGUUUCAUUUCAUCCCAUUGUUUACUGGCUUAUGUUACCAGAAACCUCAGAAAAAACAGAGGAAAUCUGCACAUUUCUGCCAAAUAAACCUGAGAAAAGUUUUUUUGGCAUUUUUAUUUAAACAUGGAACGAGUUAUUAAACAAA